rnacentral:tRNA from 1 species
UCCCCAGGUAGCUUAUAUAAAGUAAUGCUUUGAAGCAGCAUAGAAAGAGGGUUCUCUUUUGGGGAG